ACUUGAAGGGUUUUGUGGCAUGGUAUUUUUGGGAAGAAAAAGAUGAGCGUCGGUGUUUAGCCAUUUCACAAAAUUCACACUGGAAAGAAGAUGGACUUUUAUUCAUAAAUAACUGAGGAUGACCAAGUCUAUAGUGCCAUAACAUGACUUUAUUAUCAACUAGAACAGAAUUCAAACAAGUUGAACUAAAAUUUGCUGAUUUGUCACCAUCUUCAAGAAAAUAGAGACCUUCAGACUCUCUAGCAUUGCCAAUCGUCCUCCCCGAGACCUUGUCCUGAAAUACACAUGAAGUAGAGUCAAAGAUAGCACGACAAUUAAGGUUUCGAGUCAAUUUGCUGAUGGACACAAGAUUGCAAGACAAUUUUGGAACAUGAAGGACAUCAAAAAGAGUCAAAUGAGGGGUUAAUUUGAUUGUCCCUUUUCCAGCAAUUGCUGAGAAGGAACCAUCAGCAACUCUGACUUUUUUAUUUCCUGCAGAAGGAGUGUAAGUCAAGAAAAUAUGAGAAUUCCAUGUCAUGUGAUCACUAGCCCCUGAAUCUAUAAUCCAAAAACUCACACCUGUUGAAUUUGUACUCAUAAAAACAGAUGGUACAGUACCUGUUUGGGAAAAAGAACAAGUGGGAGUGGAAGGAUCGGGUUUACUGGUUUGGAGUUGAGAUUGGAGAAGUUUGUGCAGUAGCUCUAAUUGCUCCUUGGUGAAUGGUGGCACUUCUAGAGAAGGUUGCAGCCCUGAUUCUUCGCUGGAACUCUGAAAGGCCUGGCUGCCACGGUUGUCUGCCCCCUUUUUCUUCCAGUUAGGCGGUUUCCCAUGGAUUUUCCAGCAGGUCUCACGAGUGUGCCAGUAUUUUUUUGCAAAGAUCACACCACGGCUUCUUUUUCUUGUCAUUUUCAUUUUUCGCAGCAACUAGAGCAGAGGAAUCUAUAUUUUUUCCUUCCAGAUUAGACUCUAAUUUUAGCAUAACAUUCCUCCUUGUUUCUUCUCGCCUAAUCUCAGAAAAAGUUUCCCUCAAAGUGGGCAGUGGGUUUUUUCCAAGAAUUCGUGAACGAAGUUCAUCAAAUUCUUGGUUCAAUCCUGCUAGAAAUAGAUAUACCCUCUCAUUUUCUUCUUUUUUCAUUGCUUUUACACUAUCCUUAGGACACUCCCAUUCAUCAUUAUAGCAUUGAUCUAAUUCUUGCCAUAAGGAAACCAUCUCAUUAUAGUAAAUAGUAACACCCCUCUCCCCCUGCCUAGCUUUCCGCAGUUUAAUUUUUAAUUCAAAAAUCUGAGAAGCAUUUUCUACGUCAGAAUAAGUCUCUCUAACAGCCUCCCAAACAUCCCUAGCAGUGGGAAGAAACAAAUAUGGUUUACCUAUGGCAGCUUCCAUGGAGUUUAGUAGCCAAGCAAUUACCAUUGAGUUUUCUGAUCUCCAGGCAUUCAUUUUUGGGUCUCCUGGUUCAGGCUUUUUUGUCUCUCCAGUUAGGUGCCCAAGUUUUCCUCGACCAUCAAUAGCCAAACGAACAGACUGCGCCCA